rnacentral:rRNA from 1 species
UACGGGGGGAGCAAGCGUUGUUCGGAUUUACUGGGCGUAAAGGGCGCGUAGGCGGCCUUCUAAGUCAGACGUGAAAUCCCCCGGCUUAACCUGGGAACUGCGUCUGAUACUGGGAGGCUUGAGUAUGGGAGAGGGAUGUAGAAUUCCAGGUGUAGCGGUGAAAUGCGUAGAUAUCUGGAGGAACACCGGUGGCGAAAGCAGCUCUCUGGGACGGUACUGACGCUGAGACGCGAAAGCGUGGGGAGCGAACAGG